GAUGAACGCUGGCGGCGUGCUUAACACAUGCAAGUCGAACGGAAAGGCCCAAGCUUGCCUGGGUACUCGAGUGGCGAACGGGUGAGUAACACGUGGGUGAUCUGCCCUGCACUUCGGGAUAAGCCUGGGAAACUGGGUCUAAUACCGGAUAGGACCACUUCUUGGAUGUUGUGGUGGAAAGUUUUUUCGGUGUGGGAUGAGCUCGCGGCCUAUCAGCUUGUUGGUGGGGUAAUGGCCUACCAAGGCGUCGACGGGUAGCCGGCCUGAGAGGGUGUACGGCCACAUUGGGACUGAGAUACGGCCCAGACUCCUACGGGAGGCAGCAGUGGGGAAUAUUGCACAAUGGGCGCAAGCCUGAUGCAGCGACGCCGCGUGGGGGAUGACGGCCUUCGGGUUGUAAACUCCUUUCGCUAGGGACGAAGCGUUUUGUGACGGUACCUGGAGAAGAAGCACCGGCUAACUACGUG
rnacentral:rRNA from 1 species